rnacentral:rRNA from 1 species
CGUAGCCGCGGGAAUACGUAGGUGGCAAGCGUUGUCCGGAAUUAUUGGGCGUAAAGGGCUCGCAGGCGGUUUCUUAAGUCUGAUGUGAAAGCCCCCGGCUCAACCGGGGAGGGUCAUUGGAAACUGGGAAACUUGAGUGCAGAAGAGGAGAGUGGAAUUCCACGUGUAGCGGUGAAAUGCGUAGAGAUGUGGAGGAACACCAGUGGCGAAGGCGACUCUCUGGUCUGUAACUGACGCUGAGGAGCGAAAGCGUGGGGAGCGAACAGGAUUAGAUACCCCCGUAGUCCCUGUCUCUUAUACC